UAGGGAAUCUUCCACAAUGGACGAAAGUCUGAUGGAGCAACGCCGCGUGAGUGAAGAAGGAUUUCGGUUCGUAAAACUCUGUUGCAAGGGAAGAACAAGUAGCGUAGUAACUGGCGCUACCUUGACGGUACCUUGUUAGAAAGCCACGGCUAACUACGUGCCAGCAGCCGCGGUAAUACGUAGGUGGCAAGCGUUGUCCGGAAUUAUUGGGCGUAAAGCGCGCGCAGGUGGUUCCUUAAGUCUGAUGUGAAAGCCCCCGGCUCAACCGGGGAGGGUCAUUGGAAACUGGGGAACUUGAGUGCAGAAGAGGAUAGUGGAAUUCCAAGUGUAGCGGUGAAAUGCGUAGAGAUUUGGAGGAACACCAGUGGCGAAGGCGACUGUCUGGUCUGUAACUGACACUGAGGCGCGAAAGCGUGGGGAGCAAACAGGAUUAGAUACCCUGGUAGUCCACGCCGUAAACGAUGAGUGCUAAGUGUUGGGGGGUUUCCGCCCUCAGUGCUGCAG
rnacentral:rRNA from 1 species